UUAAUACGAUAGUCUGGUGUGCCAUAUUGUGAAAUUGGUGAUAUCAUAUUAAUAUUGGUUGCAUUCAAAUGCCUAAAACUAUUAUCUUGAGGGCUGGUUCCUCCAAUUUUGUAUUUGUAUCUCCUAAAAGAAAACUUGGAAGAUACAUGGUACUACCACCAGGACUACUUGGAUUUGGUAUUGCAUUGCUAACAGCUCUCAGUAUUCAUUAGAACAUGAAAUUAUAAACAAUAAUCAGUAGAGUUAAAGGUUAUAUAUUUGAAAAAGAGUAAUGUUAUAAGAAUCAACCCUUUUAAUACUUACUGUAACAAGUUGUACAAAUAUUGAGCAAUAAACUGUAUAUUUAUCAAAAA
rnacentral:lncRNA from 1 species